rnacentral:tRNA from 1 species
GCCUCUGUGGUGCAAUGGUUAAGCACUCAGCCGCUGAAGGAAAGGUUGAUGGUUCAAACCCACUCAGUGGCU